rnacentral:tRNA from 1 species
GGAGAGGUCGCCUAGAGGCUUAGGGCGCACGCCUGGAAAGCGUGUAGGGGGCAACCCCACGUGGGUUCGAAUCCCACCCUCUCCG